UACGGAGGGGGCUAGCGUUGUUCGGAAUUACUGGGCGUAAAGCGCACGUAGGCGGCUUUGUACGUUAGAGGUGAAAGCCCGGGGCUCAACCCCGGAACUGCCUUUAAGACUGCAUCGCUUGAAUCCAGGAGAGGUGAGUGGAAUUCCGAGUGUAGAGGUGAAAUUCGUAGAUAUUCGGAAGAACACCAGUGGCGAAGGCGGCUCACUGGCCUGGUAUUGACGCUGAGGUGCGAAAGCGUGGGGAGCAAACAGG
rnacentral:rRNA from 1 species